rnacentral:rRNA from 1 species
AUUGAACGCUGGCGGCAUGCCUAACACAUGCAAGUCGAACGGCAGCACAGCAGUAGCAAUACUGUGGGUGGCGAGUGGCGGACGGGUGAGGAAUACGUCGGAAUCUGCCCAGUCGUGGGGGAUAACUAGCCGAAAGGUUAGCUAAUACCGCAUACGACCGAGAGGUGAAAGCGGGGGACCGCAAGGCCUCGCGCGAUUGGAUGAGCCGACGUCGGAUUAGCUAGUUGGUGGGGUAAAGGCCCACCAAGGCGACGAUCCGUAGCUGGUCUGAGAGGAUGAUCAGCCACACUGGAACUGAGACACGGUCCAGACUCCUACGGGAGGCAGCAGUGGGGAAUAUUGGACAAUGGGCGCAAGCCUGAUCCAGCAAUGCCGCGUGUGUGAAGAAGGCCU